GAUGAACGCUGGCGGCGUGCCUAAUACAUGCAAGUCGAGCGAACGGACGAGAAGCUUGCUUCUCUGAUGUUAGCGGCGGACGGGUGAGUAACACGUGGAUAACCUACCUAUAAGACUGGGAUAACUUCGGGAAACCGGAGCUAAUACCGGAUGAUAUUUUGAACCGCAUGGUUCAAAAGUGAAAGACGGUCUUGCUGUCACUUAUAGAUGGAUCCGCGCUGCAUUAGCUAGUUGGUAAGGUAACGGCUUACCAAGGCAACGAUGCAUAGCCGACCUGAGAGGGUGAUAGGCCACACUGGAACUGAGACACGGUCCAUACUCCUACGGGAGGCAGCAGUAGGGAAUCGUCCGCAAAGGGCGAAAGCCUGACGGAGCAACGCCGCGUGAGUGAUGAAGGUCUUCGGAUCGUAAAACUCUGUUAUUAGGGAAGAACAGAUGUGUAAGUAACUGUGCACAUCUUGACGGUACCUAAUCAGAAAGCCACGGCUAACUACGUG
rnacentral:rRNA from 1 species